UACGAAGGGAGCUAGCGUUGUUCGGAAUCACUGGGCGUAAAGGGUGCGUAGGUGGCGCGCUAAGUCAGGUGUGAAAUUUCGGAGCUUAACUCCGAAACUGCAUUUGAUACUGGCGUGCUUGAGGACUGGAGAGGAGACUGGAAUUCAUGGUGUAGCAGUGAAAUGCGUAGAGAUCAUGAGGAAGACCAGUGGCGAAGGCGGGUCUCUGGACAGUUCCUGACACUGAGGCACGAAGGCCAGGGGAGCAAACGGG
rnacentral:rRNA from 1 species